rnacentral:rRNA from 1 species
GACGAACGCUGGCGGCGUGCCUAAUACAUGCAAGUCGAACGCAGUUGCGAACGGGUGAGUAACGCGUAGGUAACUGCCUCAUUGCGGGGGAUAACUAUUGGAAACGAUAGCUAAUACCGCAUACUUUGAGAUGGACCUGCGUUGUAUUAGCUAGUUGGUGAGGUAAAGGCUCACCAAGGCGACGAUACAUAGCCGACCUGGGAGGGUGGUCCGGCAAACCGGGACUGGGGAACGGCCCAGAAUCCUACGGGAGGCAGCAGUAGGGAAUUUUUGGCAAUGGACGGAAGUCUGACCGAGCAACGCCGCGGGAGAGGAGGAGGGUUUCGGGUCGUAAAGCUCUGUUGUGAGAGAAGCGUUAACUAACCAGAAAGGGACGGCUAACUACGUGCCAGCAGCCGCGGUAAUUC